CUGCAGGCUGCAACUCGCCUGCACGAAGUUGGAAUUGCUAGUAAUCGUGGAUCAGCAUGCCACGGUGAAUACGUUCCCGGGUCUUGUACACACCGCCCGUCACACCAUGGGAGCCGGUAAUACCCGAAGUCAGUAGUCUAACCGCAAGGAGGACGCUGCCGAAGGUAGGAUUGGCGACUGGGGUGAAGUCGUAACAAGGUAUC
rnacentral:rRNA from 1 species